rnacentral:rRNA from 1 species
AUACGUAGGGUGCGAGCGUUAAUCGGAAUUACUGGGCGUAAAGCGUGCGCAGGCGGUGAUGUAAGACAGAUGUGAAAUGCCCGGGCUCAACCUGGGACCUGCAUUUGUGACUGCAUCGCUAGAGGACGGUAGAGGGGGAUGGAAUUCCGCGUGUAGCAGUGAAAUGCGUAGAUAUGCGGAGGAACACCGAUGGCGAAGGCAAUCCCCUGGACCUGUACUGACGCUCAUGCACGAAAGCGUGGGGAGCAAACAGGAUUAGAUACCCUGGUAGUCCACGCCCUAAACGAUGUCAACUGGUUGUUGGGUCUUCACUGACUCAGUAACGAAGCUAACGCGUGAAGUUGACCGCCUGGGGAGUACGGCCGCAAGGUUGAAACUCAAAUGAAUUGGCGGGG